GCGAUCGGCGACCUCUAAUCGGAAAAGACUACCCGCCGAAUUUAAGCAUAUCA
rnacentral:rRNA from 1 species